rnacentral:rRNA from 1 species
CGUAGGGUGCGAGCGUUAAUCGGAAUUACUGGGCGUAAAGCGUGCGCAGGCGGUUUUGUAAGACAGAUGUGGAAUCCCCGGGCUCAACCUGGGACCUGCAUUUGUGACUGCAAGGCUAGAGUACGGUAGAGGGGGAUGGAAUUCCGCGUGUAGCAGUGAAAUGCGUAGAUAUGCGGAGGAACACCGAUGGCGAAGGCAAUCCCCUGGACCUGUACUGACGCUCAUGCACGAAAGCGUGGGGAGCAAACAGGAUUAGAUACCCUGGUAGUCCACGCCCUAAACGAUGUCAACUGGUUGUUGGGUCUUUACUGACUCAGUAACGAAGCUAACGCGUGAAGUUGACCGCCUGGGGAGUACGGCCGCAAGGUUG